UUCCCUCGUAAGGGGAAGAUAGUAAGGGGAAGCUAGAGCAACAUAUUGACAACUAUAAUCAGCAAUAUUGCCACCCGUAUAUUGACACGACACCUGAAAGAAUUAGAAACCCCAAAUCUUCUAAACCCCGAUCUAGCCAUUGUUAAAUCUUGAUCUUGAAAGAAUAUAAACCCCAAUCUUGCCAUUGAAUCUUGAAAUAAUCCCCAAUGUAGAAUGUUUGAAAGAAAAAUCCUUAUAGCUGCUGAUUAGGAUUAGUUAGGAUCUGCCGCCGGGAAGACCUUACCUAUGAGACCGUUGUAUAAAGCACAGAGACAAGCACCCAUGACAUUCAGUACUGCUGCUGUUACCUUUUGAACAGCGUGCUUACGGGCAUCUUCGAAAUUCUUUUUCUGAAAAUCAUCUUUCUUGAUCUGCUUUUUUAAUUUCUCGAUAAGCGGUGUAAAAUCAUCGCUGUCUCCAGCGGCAGCAUUGUUUCCGUCUCCAAUUGCUGGUGCACGCCCUGUGAUCUGUGCCUGUGAUUUUAUAGCCCUAGACAUUUGAAACAGUCCGAUUCCUAAGGCAAUAGGCAGGCCAAUUUUAAAGAUAAUAUCUUGUGAUUUACUCCAUAGUGUUGCCCCCCUAAUUUCUUCAUUGCCUUGUCGAACAAAAAGAUGAAUAGUUUUCGCGGCUCCAUCAAGACCCCUCAAUUGGUUGUAAACAAUUUGAUUCUCCGCAAGCAGAUACAGGAAGUUGUUCUCUGGUGGCUGAAGAGGCUGAAGAAAUUCUGAGACGGAUUCAAUCUCAAGAAGUAAAACUCUAUUGUCUCCACCUUGUUGUGCAUUUCCAUCCCCUCCACCGGCAUCUCCAUCCGCUUGGGGUUCUCCUCCACCAUUAAUGAUCCUCAACGUUCUUACGUUACGAACUAAAUGCAACAACUUUUCUCGGUGCACACCAUUGAUUCGGAAAAGAAUUCUUGGCGCUAUAUCUGCUGCAACUUCCGGUACUUGCUGUACUAUGGAAACAGAGACUACUUGUAGAAGAAGUAUUGGAACAGCCAUGGUAAGUGAUUGUGCAAAUGGUGGUAAGUGAUUGUGCAAAUGUUCACUUUUAACACCUCAAGUAGCCAUAAAGAGUGUCAUUUUGGCACCUUUUGCUGAAUCAGCAAAAAUCGUGUGCUACACGCAUUGAAAACGCGUUUGAGGGGUUUUUUGUGGAGUAUUUUCAUAAUUUUUCAUCUUUAAAUUUUUUUAGAAUUAUUGAAAAUCUCUAUUGCGGUAUGGACUGCGUACAUUUUACCUUCGCCAAACCCACAAAGUGGGAGAACACUGGGUUUGUUGUUGUUGGUGUUGUCUAUUGUCAAAUCAGCAAUAAUUGGUCCAAUGAACUAAUGACACGUGUUUUAUUGACCUAAUAAUUACAAAAAAACCCUCACAUUGUCUUCUCCACACAACCUUUCUUUAGCUUAACUUCCAUUAAUGGAGAUUGAAUGUUUCAACAAUCAACGAAACACACUAACACACUAACAAAAUUAACAAAUACUACUACACAACAACAACUUCACGAAUUCACCUCCUCCAUAUUUACACCUUCAAUUCCCACUAACAGUUCCUUCUCCAUGAACAACUAAGUGGUUGACAAAUAUGCAAAUGGAGAAUCAUUCAUCUAUAAAUAUUACCAAAAGAAAAUAAUUUGUAGAAAAAAAGAACUGACUCUUGCCUCUUCCCUAUUAUAUAUAUAGGAGACAAUCUGUUUUUACUUCUUCUUUAACAUUUGCACAUUUACCACCAUUUGCAUUAUCAAAAGAAAAUAAUUUGUAGAGAAAAAGAACUGAGUCUUGCCUCCCUCCCUAUUAUAUAUAUAGGAUAGGGAAUCUUUUUUUACUUCUUUUUCAACCAUUUGAACAAUCACUUACCACCAUUUGCACAAUCACUUACCAUGGCUGUUCCAAUACUUCUUCUACAAGUAGUCUCUGUUUCCAUAGUACAGCAAGUACCGGAAGUUGCAGCAGAUAUAGCGCCAAGAAUUCUUUUCCGAAUCAAUGGUGUGCACCGAGAAAAGUUGUUGCAUUUAGUUCGUAACGUAAGAACGUUGAGGAUCAUUAAUGGUGGAGGAGAACCCCAAGCGGAUGGAGAUGCCGGUGGAGGGGAUGGAAAUGCACAACAAGGUGGAGACAAUAGAGUUUUUCUGCUCUUCACAAACUAACAAGAUUGUCCACUUAGAGAGCUGUCGAUGGGUUUGGCCUCUAAUUACUGUGCUGGUCUAUUUGUUUUUAUCUUCUCUGCUAUUGUAUCUUGUGAAUCUUUUAAUUUUUCAAAUCACAACAUUGGAUAAGUUGCUAUUCAUUUACUUGAAAUAUGAUCAUCGCAAAACUAUGACUCAUAAGUUUUUGACUCUAAGAGGUAAUUCAAGCACUUUUUCCUUCUAAUAUCAUAUGCUUAGUUAUAUUGCUAAGUGAUUGUGAAAGCUAUAACAGGUACAACAAAAUAAUAGGAUGUGACGAAAAUUGAAAAUAACCCAUUAUCUGAAAAAAUAAUAGAAUGUGACGAAAAUUGAAAAUAACCCAUAAUCUGAAAGACUGGCCAGUAACAUUUCAAUAUUUUGCUUAGAUUGAGAGAGGCUAAAAAAAAAUUAAACAGGAAGUUUUAUUUAAUUAGAUUAUCCCAUCCCCCUCAAUCAAAUUAUACUCCACAUGAACAUUCAUUGGACAAUCUAAAUGAAAGAUUAAAACUUCUCUUUAUCCAUGAUAAAAAGGGGCAGUUGAGUCAGUUACUAUUCUCUUGUGCUAAAAUCUCUCUACUUUAGCUCACCAUUCUAUCAUUUUUUCAAAACUCAAGAAAGAUGCCAAGAACUAAGGAUGGAUUGUGAAUAUGGACAAUCUUGUUAGUUUGUGAAGAGCAGAAAAACAAUGAAAUGGUCCGAACAGUGACAACCUUGACACCUUCUCUAAAUGUAUCCUCAAAAUCAACAUCCUCAAUUUGAUUAUAUCAUUUAGCAACCAAGCAAGCUUUAAAUCGUUCCAAAAAUUCAUCGAUAUGAAAUUUUGUUUUAAAUAGCCAACGAAAACAACAUUCUUGAUAAGCUACCGAGGAAUCAAUGUCUAGGUAUCGUGAGAUCUCAAAGCUUGUAGGCUUAGACAAGUCGACUUUAAUGAUUUUUGGUUUAACUAUGUCAG
rnacentral:lncRNA from 1 species